rnacentral:rRNA from 1 species
AGUGAACGCUGGCGGUAGGCCUAACACAUGCAAGUCGAACGGCAGCACAGUAAGAGCUUGCUCUUACGGGUUGCGAGUGGCGUACGGGUGAGGAAUACAUCGGAAUCUACUUUUUCGUGGGGGAUAACGUAGGGAAACUUACUCUAAUACCGCAUACGACCUACGGGUGAAAGCAGGGGAUCUUCGGACCUUGCGCGAUUGAAUGAGCCGAUGUCGGAUUAGCUAGUUGGCGGGGUAAAGGCCCACCAAGGCGACGAUCCGUAGCUGGUCUGAGAGGAUGAUAGGCCACACUGGAACUGCGACACGGUCCUGUCGCCUACUAUACGGAGCAGAAGGGUAUAUUGGACAGCUGUCGCGAGCCUGACCCAGAUGUGGCGCGUGUGAGGUAGGUGCCUUGUGGUUGUGAUGACGUUUUUAUGGGAAUUAACAGCAGUAGGUUGAUACCCCGCUGUUCUGACGGUUCUGAAAAGAUAAGCACCGGCUAACUACGUG